GAUGGGCUCGCGGCCUAUCAGCUUGUUGGUGGGGUGAUGGCCUACCAAGGCGACGACGGGUAGCCGGCCUGAGAGGGUGACCGGCCACACUGGGACUGAGACACGGCCCAGACUCCUACGGGAGGCAGCAGUGGGGAAUAUUGCGCAAUGGGCGGAAGCCUGACGCAGCGACGCCGCGUGAGGGAUGAAGGCCUUCGGGUUGUAAACCUCUUUCAGCUCCGAAGAAGCGAGAGUGACGGUAGGAGCAGAAGAAGCACCGGCUAACUACGUGCCAGCAGCCGCGGUAAUACGUAGGGUGCAAGCGUUGUCCGGAAUUAUUGGGCGUAAAGAGCUCGUAGGCGGCUCGUCGCGUCUGCUGUGAAAGCCCGGGGCUUAACCCCGGGUCUGCAGUGGGUACGGGCGGGCUAGAGUGCGGUAGGGGAGACUGGAAUUCCUGGUGUAGCGGUGAAAUGCGCAGAUAUCAGGAGGAACACCGGUGGCGAAGGCGGGUCUCUGGGCCGUAACUGACGCUGAGGAGCGAAAGCAUGGGUAGCGAACAGGAUUAGAUACCCUGGUAGUCCAUGCC
rnacentral:rRNA from 1 species